CCCUUAGAUGUCCCGGGCCGCACGCGCGCUACACUGACAUGUUCAACAAGCCUCCUAGUUCGACAGGAUUUGGGAAAUCUUUGAACGCAUGUCGUGAUAGGGAUAGAUCAUUGCAAUUAUUGAUCUUGAACGAGGAAUUCCUAGUAAACGCGAGUCAUCAGCUCGCAUUGAUUACGUCCCUGCCCUUUGUACACACCGCCCGUCGCACCUACCGAUUGAAUGUUUCGGUGAAGAUUCCGGAUAGGACUUUUUUGAUUUAUUUCAAUUCUGUCUUAAAAGCUAUCUAAACCUCAACAUUUAGAGGAAGGUGAAGUCGUAACA
rnacentral:rRNA from 1 species